ACGGCCAUACCACAUUGAAAAAACCUGUUCUCGUCCGAUCACCGAAGUUAAGCAAUGUCGGGCCCUGUCAGUACUUGGGAGGGUGACCACCUGGGAACACCGGGUGCUGUAGACU
rnacentral:rRNA from 1 species